CCGCCCGGGUGCCUGCGGCACCCGGUGCACCCGGGCGACCGCGGCGCGCCGCUUACCUUUCACCACCCUGUCGGUCGUCGACAACUUGGGAUCAAUUGCCUUGGGCUCGGACAUCUCCAGCCGCCGGGGGACAGCGACGCGCUGCUCGUCCGUCCUACUGCACACCCCGACCGGACUGGCGGGCCAACACUCAACGCCGCCGCCGCCGCCGCGCUGCAAACCGCUUGGCUGGAGGUCUGGGCUCUGAGCUGGCUUUAAAGUUACUGCCUUCUCCGCGCGUCCCUCCUCCUCCGCCGCCGCCGCCUUCACUCCUCCUCCACCGCCGCCAGCCCCUCCGACUCUGCUCCGGGCUGCGCGUGUGUGGUGGUUAUUUAUUUAUUUUCAAAGCACGCCUCUCGGUUCUUCUUUUAUUCUUGGGGGAAGGGGAAUGGGGAGGGGAAGCGCACACACGAGCACCCACCCUGGCACGGAGAUCAGGCACAGCGGAAUGGAUCCCCACGCGCGCACACUGCCGGGAUUAAGACCGAUCACAUGGGGAGGGCCGGGGGCGAGAGAGAGAGGCAGGGCCGCCGAUGUCAAUGCCACCAGCCGCGCCUCAGCGUCCCCGGCGGCUGAGAGGCGGACGCCGCUGCUGCUGCUGCCGCUGUUACUGCCGCUGCUUCCCCACACCGACCGCUGCCGCUGAUCCGCGGCCGCCAGAGACGUCCCGCCGCCGUGCUCGCCCGUGCCCGCCUCUGCCUCCCAGCGCCGCUCCUCCACUCACACAGGCACAGCCGUGGAGCUCGGCAGACACAGUCCGGGGCGCAACCUACCCUCCACCGCUGCCGCCUCCUCCGCCGCCGCCGCCACCGCUCCCGCCUCCUCCCCUUCCUCCUCCCGGCCCCCGCCUCUAUCGCCCCAGCAGCCUCCUCCUCCUCGCGGAGCCCGCCCCCUGGCUCCCCGCCCAGACGUUGGGUCAGCGGUCGCUUAUUGGCUAGCGUGUGCGUCACUCACCGCCAGUGGCGACCUCCUCGUGGGUCCCGCCUCCCGCUCCUCCUCUUCGUCCCCGCCCCCUGCUCUGUUUUCUCCUGGUUGCCAGUCCUGUGGGCCUGUCGCCUCCACCAACCAGUCCCCGCUCAGGUGUCACUGUUGCUGGCAGGCCGGGGUUAGGGAAGGAGAAUGGGCAGGGGUCGCGGUUGGGAGGAGAGAGGCCCUACUAUGCCACCCUCAGCCCGAUUUGGCCUCCUCCCCGGCACCCCGCACACACACCCCAUACACCCCGGGCCGCUUUGGCAACCGUGCCUCGUCGGCUGGGUCGAGCCGCAGUGUGGGACCGUGUGGUGGUCAUUUAUGUUUCCCACUUGUGCAUCCACACCUUCCGAGGAGGGGCCGCUCUGGAGCGUUGCGGCCCGAAGACUUGGCAGAGCGUGCUGGGAGCUCUAGGACGCUGGAGCAGACUGUCCACCGAGGAAUGCCCAAGCAAUCCUUGAUUAUAUUACCACAGAUUACCUUACACUUGGAAUUUACAUUUUCUAAGAUGUUACUGCAAUUCCUGGAUGCUGACUUUGAGAGUAUCCUCUGAUUGAAGAAAAAGAAAAAAAAACCUUGGCAGAAAAAACUUACUGUCUACCAAAUAAUUGUAUUUCCCCAUCUUUAGUGUAUUUCUCUCUGCAAAAUAUUUGCCCAGGUAGGGACUCCAUUUUCCAUUUCCCAGUCUGCACCUGCUUGCAAAUAAGUGGGUCCAUGUGACUAGUUAUGGUGAAUGGAAUGUGGGCUGAAGUGUUUCAUCACUUUCCCAGGAAGGCAGUUAGGCAGCAGAUAACACAUUCUACAGCCUAUGGGUUCCCAUCUUAUAGCUGAAUUCAUGGGCUUCUAGAGGCCAGGAGAAGGGGUGACCCCAAAUGAAAAGAACUGAGUACCUGAGCCAGCACAUGGAGGAAUGCUGCCCGCCUAGUAGGAAAAUCUGCACUGGACUUUACUCGAAUUAAAAAUAAGCUCUUAUUGUGUUGCUCCAUUGAAAUUUAGGGAUAUGUUUGUUAGAGUACCUAGUAUCACCAGAUUAGCACACAGAUGUUAUCAUGUUAGUUCAGAAAGGAAAAUCCAGAAUUAUUUUGUAUCUGUUAUAUGUCAGAACUACCAGAAGACUAAAAAUAUUAUCUUUUAAUACAUGAGCAUCAAUUUUGAUUUUUUGUAAAUGAAUUAUUGAUUUGUCUCUUGUGUUUCAAACAUCUGUUCUGUGCAAAGCGCUGACUAUAUGAUGCACAAAUGUAUAAAGGAUUCUAGAUUUAGUCCUUUUAUUUAAGGAUUGUUACAGAAGAGUUGUACAUAUGCUAUCUUCGCAAACAUUUAGGUGCAAGGUGCUACUUCCUCAAAAUUGAUUAUGAACAUAAAUACGUACGGAAAAAAUAUUGAGGAUUUGGAGUCAUCUGUGCAUACAAAUGCUCCAAGUCACAGCUUACCUCCACUGGUACCAAUUAUAGUAAAUGAGUAAUAUUUUAGUUUGCUUUUUUAGGCAACUACCAGAUGUAGAAGCUUUUUUUUUAAAGAAAAAAAGUAAUGAUAUUUCAUAUUAUAUCCUGUUU
rnacentral:lncRNA from 1 species